rnacentral:rRNA from 1 species
GGGUUGUGAGGUUAAGCGACUAAGCGUACACGGUGGAUGCCCUGGCAGUCAGAGGCGAUGAAGGACGUGCUAAUCUGCGAAAAGCGUCGGUAAGGUGAUAUGAACCGUUAUAACCGGCGAUGUCCGAAUGGGGAAACCCAGUGCAAUUCGUUGCACUAUCGUUAACUGAAUACAUAGGUUAACGAGGCGAACCGGGGGAACUGAAACAUCUAAGUACCCCGAGGAAAAGAAAUCAACCGAGAUUCCCCCAGUAGCGGCGAGCGAACGGGGAGCAGCCCAGAGUCUGAAUCAGCUUGUGUGUUAGUGGAACGGUCUGGAAAGUCCGACGGUACAGGGUGAUAGUCCCGUACACCAAAAUGCACAGGCUGUGAACUCGAAGAGUAGGGCGGGACACGUGGUAUCCUGUCUGAAUAUGGGGGGACCAUCCUCCAAGGCUAAAUACUCCUGACUGACCGAUAGUGAACCAGUACCGUGAGGGAAAGGCGAAAAGAACCCCGGCGAGGGGAGUGAAAAAGAACCUGAAACCGUGUACGUACAAGCAGUGGGAGCACCUUCGGGUGUGACUGCGUACCUUUUGUAUAAUGGGUCAGCGACUUAUAUUCUGUAGCAAGGUUAACCGUAUAGGGGAGCCGCAGGGAAACCGAGUCUUAACUGGGCGUUAAGUUGCAGGGUAUAGACCCGAAACCCGGUGAUCUAGCCAUGGGCAGGUUGAAGGUUGGGUAACACUAACUGGAGGACCGAACCGACUAAUGUUGAAAAAUUAGCGGAUGACUUGUGGCUGGGGGUGAAAGGCCAAUCAAACCGGGAGAUAGCUGGUUCUCCCCGAAAGCUAUUUAGGUAGCGCCUCGUGAAUUCAUCUUCGGGGGUAGAGCACUGUUUCGGCUAGGGGGUCAUCCCGACUUACCAACCCGAUGCAAACUACGAAUACCGAAGAAUGUUAUCACGGGAGACACACGGCGGGUGCUAACGUCCGUCGUGAAGAGGGAAACAACCCAGACCGCCAGCUAAGGUCCCAAAGUCAUGGUUAAGUGGGAAACGAUGUGGGAAGGCACAGACAGCCAGGAUGUUGGCUUAGAAGCAGCCAUCAUUUAAAGAAAGCGUAAUAGCUCACUGGUCGAGUCGGCCUGCGCGGAAGAUGUAACGGGGCUAAACCAUGCACCGAAGCUGCGGCAGCGACACUAUGUGUUGUUGGGUAGGGGAGCGUUCUGUAAGCCUGCGAAGGUGACCUGUGAGGGUUGCUGGAGGUAUCAGAAGUGCGAAUGCUGACAUAAGUAACGAUAAAGCGGGUGAAAAGCCCGCUCGCCGGAAGACCAAGGGUUCCUGUCCAACGUUAAUCGGGGCAGGGUGAGUCGACCCCUAAGGCGAGGCCGAAAGGCGUAGUCGAUGGGAAACAGGUUAAUAUUCCUGUACUUGGUGUUACUGCGAAGGGGGGACGGAGAAGGCUAUGUUAGCCGGGCGACGGUUGUCCCGGUUUAAGCAUGUAGGCUGGUUGUCCAGGCAAAUCCGGAUAAUCAAGGCUGAGGUGUGAUGACGAGGCACUACGGUGCUGAAGUAACAAAUGCCCUGCUUCCAGGAAAAGCCUCUAAGCAUCAGGUAACAUUAAAUCGUACCCCAAACCGACACAGGUGGUCAGGUAGAGAAUACCAAGGCGCUUGAGAGAACUCGGGUGAAGGAACUAGGCAAAAUGGUGCCGUAACUUCGGGAGAAGGCACGCUGGUGUGUAGGUGAAGUCCCUGCGGAUGGAGCUGAGACCAGUCGAAGAUACCAGCUGGCUGCAACUGUUUAUUAAAAACACAGCACUGUGCAAACACGAAAGUGGACGUAUACGGUGUGACGCCUGCCCGGUGCCGGAAGGUUAAUUGAUGGGGUUAUCCGUAAGGAGAAGCUCUUGAUCGAAGCCCCGGUAAACGGCGGCCGUAACUAUAACGGUCCUAAGGUAGCGAAAUUCCUUGUCGGGUAAGUUCCGACCUGCACGAAUGGCGUAAUGAUGGCCAGGCUGUCUCCACCCGAGACUCAGUGAAAUUGAACUCGCUGUGAAGAUGCAGUGUACCCGCGGCAAGACGGAAAGACCCCGUGAACCUUUACUAUAGCUUGACACUGAACAUUGAGCCUUGAUGUGUAGGAUAGGUGGGAGGCUUUGAAGCGUGGACGCCAGUCUGCGUGGAGCCAACCUUGAAAUACCACCCUUUAAUGUUUGAUGUUCUAACGUUGGCCCCUGACCGGGGUUGCGGACAGUGUCUGGUGGGUAGUUUGACUGGGGCGGUCUCCUCCCAAAGCGUAACGGAGGAGCACGAAGGUUAGCUAAUCCUGGUCGGACAUCAGGAGGUUAGUGCAAUGGCAUAAGCUAGCUUGACUGCGAGCGUGACGGCGCGAGCAGGUGCGAAAGCAGGUCAUAGUGAUCCGGUGGUUCUGAAUGGAAGGGCCAUCGCUCAACGGAUAAAAGGUACUCCGGGGAUAACAGGCUGAUACCGCCCAAGAGUUCAUAUCGACGGCGGUGUUUGGCACCUCGAUGUCGGCUCAUCACAUCCUGGGGCUGAAGUAGGUCCCAAGGGUAUGGCUGUUCGCCAUUUAAAGUGGUACGCGAGCUGGGUUUAGAACGUCGUGAGACAGUUCGGUCCCUAUCUGCCGUGGGCGCUGGAGAAUUGAGGGGGGCUGCUCCUAGUACGAGAGGACCGGAGUGGACGCAUCACUGGUGUUCGGGUUGUCAUGCCAAUGGCACUGCCCGGUAGCUAAAUGCGGAAGAGAUAAGUGCUGAAAGCAUCUAAGCACGAAACUUGCCCCGAGAUGAGUUCUCCCUGAGACUUUAAGUCUCCUGAAGGAACGUU